CAGUGGGAGGGAGGUGGGCAGGGCGCGCGUUUGGCUGGUGCGCGGCGAGAGUUCGUCUCCUCCGGAGCUGCUGCUUGGGCGGCGCUCGGCCGCCGGGGUACGGCAGGAGGGGCUUGGCGGUUGGUGGAGGGGACCUCUCGGCGCCUCCUCGAUGCUUCGGGAUCCCGAGAGCGGGCUGCUUCUUCCAGCCUCUUUCUCUCCCGGGUGCCUGGAUGCGCCGGGAGCUGCUCUCGCUCUUUUGGGGCUGGCCCGGAGAGAGACAGAGAGCGCGCGCCUCGCCGGGCACAAAUCGCGGGGGAUCGUGCGCAUUUCUCGGCUGGCUCCUGCAGGUCGGCAGAACCCCUAAACCCCGAGUGUCUGCCAAGGAUGGGAUGCGGGUUAUUAUGGCCCCCACGACCUGGACGCAUCUUCCCCGUUGGACAAGGAAGGACCUCGCUGCGUUGGAUUUAUGCCUCUGGGAUGUUCAAGCAUCGCCCUUCCGGGAAGAGGGCAUCUGCUGGAGAGGAGGGAAGAUGCUGGCAAGAACACCUGGGAGAACCUGGCCCCUUGGUCUCCCUCGGGCCUGGAUUAUUGUGGUACCCCUGCCUCGCAACGAUGGUUUUUGCGCACCCCUGUUGGGCUUGGACACCUUUGCCUGAAGCAAAAUCCGGUGCGUUUUGGAGCUGAUCUGCUUGGUGCCCUCUCCGUCCCCGCCUUCAUAUUUGGAAUAUAAUUCUUGCUGCGCUUUUCGCGGCAGCCCCUCUCCACAUGGGGGAUGCCCUCCAGGAUCACAUGUCAAAAGAAGAAGGUAAUCAGUGCACAGAGGACGCUGACAGAAAGGCCAAGAUGCAGAAGACCCAAUUGUUUGUGCAGAAAGGACCUCACCUGAUGGAGGAAACCUCUUUGGAAAUGUCAGGAACGCUUAUGCUUAUGACUUGUAGUCCACCAGCUGCUAAGAUAUGAAACAGAUGUCUGGUGAAGAGAGGAGCUCUCAUCUCAUGAUCAGCAGAAGUGGAGUAUGGGAUCUUCAGCUAGCAGAAUGCUAGGCAAAGCUACCUCACCAGUAUCUGUACAUAAUGAAGCAAGUUAACUUUGGUUUGUUUCCCUUGGUUUUAUAGUUUCGAGAUGUUCCCUCCUUUUCCGCUGUGCCUGUAUAGUCACCUCCACCAGAGACCUGAAAACCACUUGGGGAAAGGGAACAGCCAUUUGGUCCAAACAGGAGUAUAUGCCACACACCCACCCUAUGUUGUUGAAAGAUUCAAAUAUGGCAAUGGAAAUAGCUGUGAAUUUUCCCAAUGGCCUCUGCAUCUCUUAUGCCUCCUCUUUCAUUGCCGAUUUAAUGAUUCAGUGGGAGUUCAGGAUGCCCAGAUGAUCAACGGGAAGAUUGGAACAAGAAGAUUGUUUUGUUGUUGUUGUCCUGAUGUAUCAAUAAAAUCAUAUUUUUUUUAAAAAAAAAGAAAAUUGGACUAUAUAUACCCAGUGUUGGGGGCCCAAAGAAUUUAAAUCUGUUCCCGGGGAAUUAAUAGUCAGUUUUACAAAUUUUACUGUGAGUUGUCACAUGGAAACCCAGGAAAUACAAAUUGUCAUUCCUCUGUCAAAAGGAAAUUAUAAUGUCACAUAUACUUAUACCGAAGAGUCCAUCUGACAUACAAAAGACAGCCUCAUGUAAGCAUGGAUAAGCAUAGGAAGUUUUUUAUGCUUCGUGUUUUAAAUAUUUUGUUGGGAGCUGCCCAGAGUGGCUGGGGCAUACUAGUUGGAUGGGCAUCAUAUAAAUAGAAUUAUUAUUAUUAUUAUUAUUA